GACAGGGUGGUCGAGUGGUGAGACAUUGCCCUCCCAAAUAGGUGGCGGAGAGGAGACAAGUAGGUUGGUUCGAUUCCAACUCCUGUCA